AGACCAUCACGGUGACUUGUAACCAACUUACUGUACUUUAAUACCGGACUAUCUGAGUUUUUAACUUAGUGAUAGAAGGAUACUAAGUAUCGUCAAGUACUUAUCAAGUCGGUGUGUGAGUCAAGAUAGAAUUAACCCCUCUGAAUUGGUAAAAAAUAUGCAUCAGUUGAAGGAACCAGAUCUAGGGUUUCAGGGUUAAAUCU
rnacentral:lncRNA from 1 species